AGGAAUGUAUAUUGCAUUUGAACUUUUGUUUGAUGAAUUUCAAUGAGUUUCUUUUCUCCAUGAUUAUAAACUCAUGGGUGUGGCUGUUGCUUUUUAGCAAAUAAUGAAUAAGUCUAGAAUUUUAGAAACAGCCAAGAAAUUGAGUGCGGUCGUUUUCAAUAAAUAUGUUAUAAAGUGAUGCAAAAGCUCGAUUUAGGCCGAAAGAUAUAUGUUAACUAGCUUAUGUUGCAGUCAUAGUGCCAUUCAAGCAUUCAUCAUCUGCCUGAUGUGUAAAACAUUCAAAUGAGUAU
rnacentral:misc_RNA from 1 species